UACAGAGGGUGCAAGCGUUAAUCGGAAUUAUUGGGCGUAAAGGGCUUGUAGGUUGUUCUAUAAGUUAGAUGUGAAACCCCUGGGCUUAACCUGGGACGUGCAUUUAAUACUGUAGAGCUAGAGUAUGGCAGAGGAGUGGGGAAUUCCUGGUGUAGCAGUGAAAUGCGUAGAGAUCAGGAGGAACAUCAGUGGCGAAGGCGCCACUCUGGGCUAAUACUGACACUGAGGAGCGAAGGCGUGGGGAUCAAACAGG
rnacentral:rRNA from 1 species